CUCAUUCUGCCUUUACAUCUAUUUAUAUUAUGUUAUACACUAUCUCCACUGCAAACAUAAAUUUUCAAAUAAUAAUAAUAUAAAGGUUGGAUGACUGUCUAUUUUACUAUCAAUUGAUCCUGAAAAACAACUUUAAUCGGGGUUAUACUGUGUUAAGGGUCCUCAGAGCUGCAUGAGUCUUACCUGUAAAGAGGACCCAGAGGCUCACAACAUGAAAUGACUCUGGGAUGUGUAAAAAGCAUUGAUCUACAAGAGACAUUGAAAUCAUUUAGUAUAAAACCUUCACUUUAUGGAUAAAGAACAGUAGGAUGGAGGUUGCAGUGAGCCAAGAUCACUACCCAAGACGGUAGGUUUGCACUUAUUCUGCUCUCUCCAGAAGUUCCUGGUGGAAUGAAUCAUCUACUCUGCAGUGGUAAUGAACAGAGAGGUUCAUUUUCAGAUUGGCUUAUUUUAUAUGGAUCUUGCCAUGUUGCCCAGGCUGGUCUUGAAAUCCUGGCUCCAGCGAUUUGCUCACCUGUGGCUCCCAAAGUGCUGGGAUUACAGGCAUGAGCCACCAUUCCCAGUGAUUUAGGUAUAUUUUUUAAACUUCUUGCUGUAUUCCUAUCUUUUUGAGUUGAAUAUUUCUUUUAUUUUCAUUUUUAUUGACCUAAUUAUUUUUAUUUUAUUUUAAGUUCCAGGGUACCUGUGCAGGACAUGCAGGUUUGUUACAUAGGUAGACAUAUGCCAUGGUGGUUUGCUGCACCAAUCAACCCAGCACCUAGGUAUUAAGCCCGGCAUGCAUUAGCUAUUUAUCCUGAUGCUUCCUGCUCCCAAUUUCCCCGCACAGGCCCCAGUGUGUGAUGUUCCCCUCCCAGUGUCCAUGUGUUCUCAUUUUUCAGCUCCCACUUAUAAGUGAGAAUAUGUAGUGCUUGGUUUUCUCUUCCUGUGUUAGCUUGCUGAGGAUAAUGACUUCCAGAUUCAUCCAUGUCCCUACAAAGGAUAUGAUCUCGUUCCUUUUAUGGCUGCAUAGUAUUCCAUGGUGUAUAUGUACCACAUUGUCCUUAUCUAGUCUAUCAUUGAUGGGCAUUUGCAUUGAUUCCAUGUGUAUUUGUAAUUUUUACAUGAUGAUUACUUUAUUCUUCAUUUUAAAAAAUUUUUAUUUCAUCACAAAUUUUUAUUUUCUCUCCCAUUUCUCUUAUAUUUUUCAUUGCAAUGUUGUCCUGGAAUUUCUGUCUGUUCAUAUCCUACAUGUAUGGAUAGUCCUGAGCUUCCCAGCCUCAGCACCUUCUUGCUCUCAACUUUCCCUGGAUUGACUUUUAUAACUACGAGUUAUGGUGACGACUCCUAAAUCUUAUCUCUGACAUGGAGCUUUUCCCUUAACUUCAAGUCUAUGCACCCAGUUGUCUGUUGAAAUCUACCACAGGCAUCUCAAACUCGGUGUGUCCAACAAGAAACAUUUUUUUACACUCUACAAAUCUACUCUCCUAUACAAUUUCAACUCCCUGUUGAUGGCCGUACAAUAUCAUAAAAAGCUCAACCUAAAAAAAUAAAAACAACAUUUAAUCACAAAUCUUCAUUUUCUUAAUUUCCUACAUCCACUUCCUUACCAACAUUGUUGAAAUUACCUCUCACACAUUCUUUAAAUUGGUCUUUCUUCUAUCUCCAGUGAAAUUACCUUUGCAUUGUGAUUCUUUCUCCUCCAGAUAAUAACAAGUUCUGUGGCUCUAUCAUAGCCUAUGACCACUCUGUCUUUCCUUCAUACCCAUUCUUAGCCUAAAACCUUUAGGAUAAAGAUAAUUUCUUUUCCUUGGCUCACAGAGUUCUCCAGGAUCUAGAUCCGGGCAUAAUUUUUGGCCCCUCUGUUUUUGUACUUUAUCAUAUGUUCGUACAGAAUUACAGGCAGUCACUUUUAUGCACUAUGUUAUGAUGCACUUUGUUAUAAUGGAGAACAUUUCCUUUUGCCACCCACAGGGAAUUUUCUUCUUUAGCUUUCUUGAAAACCCCUACUUAUCAUAGGAGAGCUUGUUCCCUGAAGCUGUAUGCCUUACCUUUCCAGUCAGACUUCGCUUUGUUUAUUGCUUCCAUUAUGUACUACAUGUUAUCAUACAGAAUAUUUAGUGUGGUGUUGUGAAGAGAGGUUUCCCCAGCAUUUGCUCCCCAGAGCUUAGAGAGCUCAGCAGCACUGUAUCUGGUGUACAAUAGUUUCUCAUUUAUGAUCUUUUUUGAAAGUACAAAUGAUAAAUUCUACUGGAUUUUUUUUUAAUUAGUGAAAUAAGCUAGUAAAACAGCCAGUCUUUGAGAUCUAAUCAGAACCACC
rnacentral:lncRNA from 1 species